CCCUACGGGGCGCAGCAGGCCAGGGAUGACGACCCCGAUCUUGCCCACGAUUUCCGCUUCCUCGAACAGCUUCACGAUCCGGGCAGAGCGGUCAUGCUAUCCGAUGAGGACCGAGAGGAGUGGAUCAACGCGGUGAUGCGUUUUCAGCAGCUCACCGCUCCUCUCAUGGCCAAAGGAUUCGAAGACACCGCCCUGUAUGUCUAUAACAGGCUGACUUCCCUCAAUGAGGUGGGCGGCUGCCCCGACAGGUUCGGGGUCUCCCCGGAGGUGUUCCACGAAUUCAACCGGCGCCGGUUCGAUGCCCAUCCCCUUAGCAUGAAUUCCACGUCAACCCAUGACACCAAAAGGGGCGAGGACGUCCGGGCCAGGAUAAACGUGUUGUCGGAAAUGCCCGGGGAAUUGGCGGGGGGGC
rnacentral:rRNA from 1 species